AGCGAACGCUGGCGGCAGGCCUAACACAUGCAAGUCGAACGAACCUUUCGGGGUUAGUGGCGGACGGGUGAGUAACACGUGGGAACGUGCCUUUAGGUUCGGAAUAACUCAGGGAAACUUGUGCUAAUACCGAAUGUGCCCUUCGGGGGAAAGAUUAAUCGCCUUUAGAGCGGCCCGCGUCUGAUUAGCUAGUUGGUUGAGGUAAUGGCUCACCAAGGCGACGAUCAGUAGCUGGUCUGAGAGGAUGAUCAGCCACAUUGGGACUGAGACACGGCCCAAAAUCCUACGGGAGGCAGCAGUGGGGAAUCUUGCGCAAUGGGCGAAAGCCUGACGCAGCCAUGCCGCGUGAAUGAUGAAGGUCUUAGGAUUGUAAAAUUCUUUCACCGGGGAAGAUAAUGACGGUACCCGGAGAAGAAGCCCCGGCUAACUUCGUG
rnacentral:rRNA from 1 species